rnacentral:rRNA from 1 species
GACGAACGCUGGCGGCGUGCUUAACACAUGCAAGUCGAACGAAGUGGCGAACGGGUGAGUAACGCGUAAUCAACCUGCCCUUCAGAGGGGGAAAACAGGUGGAAACGAAUGCUAAUACCCCAUACUGAAGGAUGGGAUUGCGUCUGCUUAGCCAGUAGGGGGGGUAACGGCCCAACAAGGCGAUGAUCAGUAGCCGGGCGGAGAGUAUGAACGGCCACAUUGGGACUGGGCACCGGCCCAGACUCCUACGGGAGGCAGCAGUGGGGAAUCUGCCGCAAUGGACGAAAGUCUGACGGAGCAACGCCGCGUGAGUGAUGACGGCCUUCGGGUUGUAAAGCUCUGUUAAUCGGGACGCGGUACCGGAAUAGAAAGCCACGGCUAACUACGUGCCAGCAGCCGCGGUAAUUC